UCUGAUGAAUGAGAACAUUGUUGGCAAGGUAGCUAGAAGGUCAACAGGGGUAAGGUAGGAGGAGAUAUUCUCUAAGGAAGAUGAGAUCUUUUUGGCCUACUGGUUCUCAGAAAUAUUUGCCAAUGUAAUAUAGUAGGAGGAUAAGAGAGAGGGGGCUCAGACCUUAAGGAAGUUGCUUAUUGGAAAGAUGACUUCCUGAGCACCAGAGGAUGGGGCAGAGAAAAAGAACAGGAAUGGGAAGGCUUGUGGGAAGGGGUCAGGAAGGAAGGGAGGAGGAAUCCAAAUAGGGGCACUCAAGAGUUCAUCUGGAUCUUGAAAAUUGUUCAGAAAAAUGAUGGGUGGCUGCACGGGAGACUCUGGGAGCACUGGACCCUGAGCCCUGCUGAAUGCUCUGAGAUUCCCCCAUAAAAUCCCACAGCAUCCUGUGAAGGAUGGAGAUAUGACCAUCCCUAUUUCUGCAGGAAAACUAACUUUCAGAUGUGCUAGGUAGAUUGUCUGGGGUAUCAUGGGCAAUCAAAAUCAGAUUGAGGAUCCCAAACCUGUUCUCUUUACCUAAUAGCAUCAUGGUUUAGUUGAAGUGAUCAUUUGGCCAAAUUAGAGAAUAUAUCAUGGGAGGUUGAGGGGAAUGAGAAUGCUUCAGGCAACAGUUGAGCUCAAGAGCUGCCUAGCAGGCAAACACCAUUUUCUUUCAAUAAUAAGUUUAAAGGAGGACAGAUACCAUGGUUAAAAAGCAGCAGGAUGUGUGCAACCUGGAGAUAGAAGAAGUAAAUGAGACACUCUACAGCUCUCAGAGUAUUGCUAACGCUGCCCGUUGGUAGCCAAGAUAGUACAGCACCAGCUACCCCAUGGCCUUAAAUUCCUGCAAGCAUAACUCUUCCAUUCAGGGAGAGGCAAGGCUGAGGCUAUUGGGUGAUGCAGUAUAAGCUUGAGGAUGAACUUACUCCAGCAUCAGGCUUCUGCUAAGAGUGAAUGUAUCACCAAGGUUCAGACCCUGGACCCAGUGGACUCCUGAUUCAAAGAAAUCCCCAAAGACUCCAUAAUCUCUUGUGUUUCCUGAAUUUUUGUGAAUGCCCAAUUCCCAGAGGAAAAACGAAAAGAGACAUCAACAGAACUGGAAUGAAUUAAAUUCCCUUAAAAAGGCAUAAGAAGUCAAAACAACGAUUGUAACUUUUAGCAUUAAUGGACUGUGUAUGUGUAUGAAGUUCCCUGAAGAUAAGUUACUUUCUAUUGUAAUCAAACUGUCCAACGGAUUAGACACCUGCCACAUAAAAGAUGAAUAAACACUGUCUUGAUGUUA